GGUUUAAGUUCUAAAGGUUUUGAAACCUGUUCUAAAAGGUUUUGAAACCUUUGAUUUUCACAUUACCUCCAAAAUUUUGGAUUUUCAAACCCAACCAAAUUCACCCCGCCCAAUCUUCCCUCUUCCUAAAACCCCCCCAAAUUCCCAAAACAAGCAACUUUCAUUUGAAUACCGCCAAUGAAUUCUUUGAUUACAAUCUAGCAUACAAAACAAGUUUAUAACAGUAAAAAAUUAGGGUUUCUAACUCACUCUCACCUUCCUUAUCGUACACAUUAACCACUUCUUCCCUUCCAACACCACCAAUUUCUAGGGUUUUUCUAUGUCAUUCCCAUUGAGAUCUACCACAAAAUAUACAAUUUUCUCACCAUUCUUGUCAUUUUAGACCUCCAUUGGCGAAAAUGAAGUAUGGGAAGAAGGAUUUGGAUUCUUACACUAACAAAGGCAGUAACAAAGUUAUUCGAAGUAUACCCUCUUUCUCUCUCUGUGUAUAUAUAUGUAUCUCCCUACUGUUUGAAUGACUAUAAAUUUUUAUGAUUUUUUUUAUUAUUAUAUUUGGGUACCUUGCCUGGCUAAUUAGGGAGACGAAGGUACCACCACCGUUGAUGUAGUUAGCUGGCACUCACUCUCUUAUUCUCUCUCUCAUGUCGGAAGUGACCCAUUUGUGAGAUUGGACGGUUACAAGAGGACGAUUGGUGGCCAUUUGCUGUAGAAAGAACAAGGGGCUAGGGUUUGGGAAAAAAAUAAUGUUUCUUCUUUUUCUUUAAAGCCUCUGACCCUCUCAUGAACACACACAUAACUCUUUGAUUUUGGAUCUUUCGGUGUAUAUUAAUUGACUCGAUUGGAGGUGAUGCAUCAUUAUGAAUUUGGUUCUGAUUUGACGAGGCUAUGUUUUGAUUAACAGGUUUUGCAUCAUUGUUAAUAGUGGAGAAGGUAUUGUUUAAGGUUCUGGGAGUUUUAAGUAAAAAGUUUUAUAAGUUGGGGAUUUUGUGCAGCAAGAGGUGGCAUAUCUAGAUCUUUUGGAUUAGGUUUCAAGGAACAAAAGGGGACGUGGCUAAUUUCUACAGCUUGCACUCAUUCAACAACUAUUGGGUAGGCCACACGAGCUUAAUGAGCAAGGUCGUGCGCUGGAGAUAGCAAUAGAAGCAACAACACUUGCAUGUAUUGACCUUAAAGAUAGUUUAAAUGAGUGGGACAACAAAGUGGGUGAUGACGACCGCAGAUCAAUAGCUUUCUUCUGGCAUAAAGUUGGUUCAUAAGCUCAAGGAAAGUGGUGGUAAGUAUUGCUGGAGCGUUUUUACAUGGGCUGGAGCAAGGUGGCCACCAGUCUAUGGAUGCAAACUUGCAUCACUUUGAAAUAUGGACUUGAAGAAAACAACCGAGAAAUAGCUCUUAGUUUGUGUGUACAUUUGUUCACUUUGCAACUUUUGUAGAUAGGUUUUGAUUAGAAAACUUAUGUAUUUAAAUAGAAAAGUUAUGUAUGGAUUUUUUAUUAUUGUUGUUAAUAUCAUUUGCUUUAUAAAUUA